GCCGAAAUAGCUCAGUCGGGGGAGCGUUAGACUGAAGAUCUAAAGGUCCCUGGUUCGAUCCCGGGUUUCGGCA